rnacentral:lncRNA from 1 species
ACUUUGUUGCUUUGAUUUAGUUUUUUUUUUUUAUAGAAUUUUUUCAUCAAGAUUUUUAAUAUUUUUUGAACCCUUUCGAUGAGAUGAAUCUAAAAAAUAUAAGCGUUUUGAUUUAUUUUAAGAAUAAAAAUUCACUAAAUACCAAAAAAGUUGGGAGAAAUUACAAAUUUUUUUUUCAAAUUUCUCAAUAUUUUAAUUUUCAGAUUUCUCUCUCCUGAAAGUACGCUAUUCUUAUUAUUAUGUCUCUAGUAUACUUUUUCAUAUUUUUAGAAUAUUUAAAUUUUUAGAUUUCUGUCAUUUAGAAUACUGAAAAAGUAUAAAUGUUUGAAUAAAUUGUAAAAAAAAAUAACUAAAUCAAAACAUUCGAAAAUUAAAACAGUUAAAUUAGCUCAAAAAAGUUAAUCCAUACGAGGAUUGACUUUUGUUAGCUAAAAAAAGAAUAACAUCUUUACUGUCCUCAUGAUCAUCAAAGAUUUAAAAAUCUAGAUAAAACUUCAUGUAAGAACAUCGAAAUUGAAAUUGAUAGUGCUUGAUAGUUAAAAAAAAAAAUGUAUGACAAUUUUCAAUUUUGAAAAACCAAAAGACAGAUUGAUUCAUCUUUUUUUUUAAAGUCAAAUGGGUUUCAUCACUUCAUGAAAUUUUUUAUAUGGGUUUUUUUUUGGUUCAUCACCGGAUGGAGAAGUUAUUCCAUAUUCCAUUUCUUCUAGUGGCCAAAUCUUCAUAAAAAAAAAACCAUCAGAAUCUUAAAUAGUAAAAAAUGAAGUUUAAAAAGUGAAUUCUUUUGAAAUGCUCCAACAAAGCGAAUCCUUUAUCCUAAGAUGUUCAAAAAAAUUGCUCCUACAACGAAUCCUUUUCCCCCGGUAAAUCAAGCGCACCAUAGGACUUCAAUUUCCCUAGCAAGUUCCCAUUCGUUCCGUCCAGCAAAACAAGGCUAUCCACGUAUGCACCAGCAUAAAACGAGAAUUUGACGACUCCCAUUUCAAGGUUCACAACACACUUACACUCGGGGUGAUAUAAAACCAAGUCUCCACCCCCAAUCACACUCAACAAAUUCACUUGCCCUUAAUACCAAAAACUGGGGUUAAACCGUGGGAUCCAGCCCAUGAGAUCAAAGCCCAUGAAGCCCAAUAAUAACCCAAGCCCAAGCCCAUAACAAAUUCUUCUAGGAUGGGAAUGAAAUGGUACAAAGAAAGAGAGACGGAGAAGAGAAGAUGGGAAAGGAAAGAGUCUCUGACGCUUCAUGUCAAAGAGGCGCCGAAGAAGUCGAAGACUGAGACGCUCCCUUCCUCCAUGGUCAACAAUGGAGGCAUGAAUGAGCUCAGCCAUGAGCCUCAUCUUCUCUUGCUCUGUGGCUAAAAUUUGAGAUGGUUGUGGGAGAAAGAGAGGUGGAACAGUGUAGAGAAAUUCAUGUAAAGUACAGAGAGGCUGUGAGAGAAGAGGAGCAAGACUGAGAGAUUGAGAGAUGAGAUGAUUGAGUGAGUUGAGUGUGAUCUCCUCCUUUGUAUUCAUUGUAAUUAUUCAGAGCUAGUGAAUUAUAGAUCCUCUCCGGGAUGUAGGCAUUGUUAGCGAACCACGUAAAUCUUGUCUUUGUGUGUGGUUUAUGUUGGUAGCGUGAAUGCUUAACUCAUUUUGGCACAACCAAUUGGUAUCAGAGCCAAGUUCGAGGCAUGGAGAGCACCGGAGUGCCACGGAAGUAAACUUUCGAAUUCUGAGCAAAUUCAAAGGCUCAAAAAUAGCGUUGAGCAUAACACGAGAUUCGUCUCUUCGAACGAAGCCCAACACCAAACGAUUCCAAAUCGAGAGUUCAAACGAGCCCUCACGCGCCGUUUGAAGUUCGGCGCGUCAGAUCCACGCACCCCACGCGCGCCAGAGGAGAAGACGAUUGGAUUUACGCGCCCCGGCCACCACGCGCUCGCACGCGGCCAGAGACGGUCCCAGCAGCCGAAGCGCCGUUCACGCGCCUCCCACGCGCCCCAAGCGCUUGCACGCGCCAGGAGAGUGGCAGUCAAUGCAGCACGCGCCCGCACGCGCCAGGCGAGUGGCGGCAAGCCGCGGAACGCGCCCCACGCGGCCCAGCCAUUCCCAGCUCACGCGCCAAGAUGAUCGCCAAGUGAGCCGAUCCGCCAAGCCGCCAUGUGCACCAACGCGACUCUGCGCCAAUCCGGUCGAGCCGCGACGAAUCCGCGAUCUGACUGAGCCGUUGAUCAGUCAUGCCGUGGCUCGGUCAACAGAGCGUUGACCGGUCAAAAACAUGACGUGGACAUUACCGUUGACGAGUACAACAGAAAAAUGCACUUUUUCAGGACUUCUAUUAAUUACAGAGUGGUCCUGAGUUGAGAAAUUACAAUUAGUCUCUGAAGUUUUAAUUUAUUCAAUUUGGGUCCCAGAAGUGUGUGAUUUUGACGGAAAAGCCCUUUCUGAGUUUUCUCGGCAUUCCAGAUUCAUCCGCGGGUCGGUUUUGGGCGCUAUGAUUAUACUUUCAGCUACAAAUACGCCCCUC